CUUCCUGCGACUGCAGAGAUGAAGGGAAUGAAGGUUAGCUCAUGAAUGGUAUGGGGCUGGUGUUUUGGAGUAUACUGGGGGUGGCAGCAGGGGCAACUAUUUGGGAGUUAAAAGGUCCUGGCGCUGGAUAUAGAGAUGGAUUGUGGCAAAGGACUACUAUGAGAAAAUAGAAAAGGAGGCAAGCUGUAAUUGUGUUUAUCAAUCCUUUUGAAUUUUGAAACUUCAAUUUCCACAAAAGAGCUGAUGGAUGGAUGUCAAGAAAAAUGUCGCUGGGGACUUAUUCCUUGUUGGAGUAAUUAACACACUGUUUGACCUCUGGUAACUAAAACUGCAGAAGGCAAAACUGGAUAAGGAGACUACUGUAAUGAUUAUGCUAUUACAAGACGCUCGAUUGCUAACAUCAGACAUUUUUAUAAAAGGAAGUGAAGCUAUGAGAUCCACAAUGUGAAUGUCACCCAACCAGAGGUGUUACUUUGUGCCAUGUACAACAUACACAACCAUAGGCCAGAAUCCUGCUAGGACAUCUCUGCCUGUGGAAGGAGGGCUGGAUGGCAUACUGGGAAUGGCUUUCUAGGAUGACUUCCUGUUGCUACAGACUACAAGAAGCAUUUCUGGCCUUGAUGUUGUCUGAAUGAAGAAGACAUAGGAGUUUCACCAAAGUAUAGCUCCCUGAAACCAGAUGGAUCAUGGCAGAUGAUAGUGGCUACUCUAAACUUGACCAAGUAGCUUCCACAAUUGAAGUCCCAAGCUGGAGCCUACAGGAAUGAGGAAGCAGGAAGGGCCAGAGUGAAGUGGAAACUUUGAACUUGAAGUUGGAAGACACUGGUACUCAUCUCUUCUAUUUGCUAGCUGUAUGAUCUUGGGCAACUUAUUUAAUUUAUCUUCCUCCAGUUUACUCAUUGAUUAAAUGAAGGUAACAAUUUUAUCUCAUAGGGAUAUGGGGAUGAUCGAGAGAGAUAAUAAAAGUGAAAGUGUUUUGAAAAGCA